CAUGAACACAAGUGGAUUUUGUGCUGCGAUGAAGCUGCAGCGUUUUCAGGUUUUUCUUCUCUCAUUUAUAGAAGAGAACCAUGCUGGGAAAUAAAGGACUAACAGAGCGCCCGAGAUUGGCUCGCGUCGUGCGGUACUUCAUGUUCAUCCCCACGCUCGCACGAUGCUCCUUUCCCGCAAGCCCUGGCGUGCGCGGGCUAUCCUGGCCACGGCGUGCACGGUGUCCACAAUCCGGAGCUCGCACGCGCAUGCAGGAAACAGAAACGUGACCACUAAUGCAUGCAGCUAAUCUACGUGUCAAGGCUUAAGUUAGCUAACAAAUAUUGGAGUAGAAUGUCUUCCACCAAGAAAGCUAAAAUGAUAACCGAAUAUUGGAGUAGUAGUAUGCCUAAAUUGGAUUUUGUCUAACCUCAAGCCUGGUUCCAUGAGAAUGUUCAGCUGGUCUUGAAUGUAAAUAUUUGUCCCUUUUCAUUGAAGUUAAAACUAAUUAUAAGCCAGCUGAAAUAUGACUGAAUUGUAAGAAAAAUCCAUGAAUCAGCCAAGAUUAGGCAACUAUAGGACGUGGUAACAUACGUGUUGCAUCCAGCAUCUGCAUGUCUACCCUUUCGUGAUUUAGAGCACACUAAAUCUGAAAAUUUUUGACAAGAAAGCUGUCAAGACUCUCAAUAAAUUAUGCUGACUACAUUCUGUCAAUUAAGUGGUCUCAAAGUGGAUACGGCCAAAUGGCUCCUCUACUGACUACUGAUCAGAUCAUGCUCCUUUAGCCUACCAUUGGUAUUGGCCUAACCAGUGAUGACUGAUGACAUUGCUGUUGAGCUGACAAGUUCAACAAGUUCUGUUAGACCUUUUCUUUCAUCCUAUUUUAGCUCACUUUCAUAUUUGAUUGUUCUUUCACCCUUCUUUGCUUCUUUUGUUUCUGUAAUAGUAUAGCUCUGCCAUUUAAGAGUUGUUUCUGUAAUAUUCUAAUUUUCACUGUUCUUCAUGUUGGUUCAUGUGCUCUGUCAGACUAUCGUAGAUGGAACUAGAGUCUCCGUUGGAUACCUGUCAAACAUCACUAAUGGAGCUGCACAAUUGCAAUCCAAGUCACGAUCACACACCGUCGAUCCUAAGGAAUGUAAGCGACAAAGGGAAAGAGCACGGUACGGAGCAAUGUCUCUACAGCAGAGGAACGAUCGAAAUAAGAAGCGCCGUAAAGCCUGUCAAAGAAAAAAUGAGGCCGGAUCCGCAUAUAACAAGGAAAAUGAGGAACAAGAUGGAAAUAGUGAUUGGUUCUAUAGGAACGAUUCGUACCAGCCUGAUAAUCUUGACAAUGAUAUCAUGGCCUCCCAUUUACUAGGUAUUGUUGUGUAUUUUUAGGAUGGUGAAGUGACACGCUCUUUGUCUUCGUAUUGCUCGAUGCAGAUUGUGUUGAGAGGGGUGAUGCGUUGAGCAACCCAGUGAUUACUUAACUAAACUAAAGGAGCACUAGGAUAUUUUUUUUUGUGAUAAUUUCAGGACGUAGAUGAUCAGGUCUAGGUACAGUUCCUAACAUUUAUCAAUUCAAACCAAUAUUGAAUACAUGUGUAUCCUUGACAAUUUACAUUGCUUCUAAUCUGAAAAAAUGCUUUUCUUGUACUUUCAUUCAAAAUAUGGCAAAUAAAUUAUUAUUUUCUGCUCAUCAAGAAAGUGGGUUGGUCAUAUUCAUUUACUUAUUCUGUCAAACAGGCUUACACAUAUCUGGAUGAGGCUCAUAGCAUUGGUGCU